rnacentral:tRNA from 1 species
CCCCGGAUGGCGGAAUUGGCAGACGCGCACGACUCAAAAUCGUGUGGAGCAAUCCAUGUCGGUUCGACCCCGACUCUGGGGACCA